rnacentral:rRNA from 1 species
UACGGGGGGGGCAAGCGUUGUUCGGAAUUACUGGGCGUAAAGGGCGCGUAGGCGGCCAUGCGUGUCUUCCGUGAAAUCCCUCGGCUUAACCGAGGACGUGCGGAAGAAACUGCAAGGCUCGAGUCCGGAAGAGGGGGGCGGAAUUCCCAGUGUAGCGGUGAAAUGCGUAGAUAUUGGGAGGAACACCAGUGGCGAAGGCGGUCCCCUGGGCCGGAACUGACGCUGAGGCGCGAAAGCGUGGGUAGCAAACGGG